UGAAUGUCUGUGGAAAACAGCUUUUAGUGAAAAAUUUCUAUACAAGUACAGUAUCACAAAAGAACAUUUUUAAUGAUUUUAAAAUACGUUUUAAAUGAACACAAAAUGCAAUGUAAAUGCAUGCACAACUAAUAACUAAUAUCAUCACGCUAUAAAGGGUUGGCCUGCGCUGGCCGCGCCCCUCCCCCUAUUCUGUUCUGUCUCCUGGAGGAGCUCAUUUGUAUGAAUCUGUGUGAAACACGCAUAGGAAAAAAGAACGAUAGAAAGAACGGCUCCUCUCCAGUCGCGACUCGGCUCCCAUCGUUCAUGUUUAUGAGCCGUUCAAAAGAAUCGGUUCGUUCGCGAACGUCACAACUCUACAGAGCAUCCAGUUUGCAAGAGCGCGAAGAUGGCAAGAAGAGCGUUUGUUUUGCAGUGUAAACACACUGUUAAUGACUGCACUCGCCUUUUACUGUCUGAUAAUCCCGGGCCUGCUGUUUUUCAGUCAUCAUUAAACAGACUUCAAACCAUGCUGAGGAGCCUGGAAUGGGCAAAGGGGACUCUUUUACAUACUCAGGCAGCAGAUGAGAUCAUCCAUGAAGUAUCAGAUUUUAUUCAGGAGAUUCAAACUUCUGAACCAAGAGCACAGGGGGGUAUUCCAAAAAGCAGGUUAUGUGACAUACCUGGGUAUGUAUAAGGGUAAGUUCGUGGAUAACCUCAACGUUCGGUUCCAAAAACAGAGGUCACUUUCUGGGUAUGUAUGUAACCAUAGCAACUGACUCUCUGAAGAUAACCUGCUCGAGAGCAGGUUAUGUUUCAGUGUAACUUCGUUUCAGAAGGUUGGUGAGCAUGGCGUGCCCUUUUGACGAGGAUCCUGUGGACGUUGAAGCACAAAUUAUACGAGGUUUUUUUCAUCGGGAGAGGGUUAUAAGACCGCGUAUUGAUGUGUUUGCUUACCCUAAUGAAUAUUUAAAAGCGUUAUCGUUUUUCAAAAGAUUCAUUAGUUUAUUUAACACGUCUUUUAAAACCGCAUAUCGCAAAUGUGACAAACCGCGGCUCUGCGCUUAGCACAGAAAACAUUCUGUGCAUAGCACUUAGGUUUUUUGCGUCUGGCCAUUUUUUGUACAGUGUGGGCGAUUCAGAGCAUGUGGGAAAGGCAACUGUGUGUAGAGCCGUUCGUACAGUGUGUCUGGCACUUAAACAGUUGUUACCCACGUUUGUACAGUUCCCUGGCCAUAAACCUCUGCUUGUUAUUAAAGACGAAUUCCACAGAGUGGCAGGUUUGUCCUUUGUAGUAAAAUAUGACGCAUAUUUAAUAUUUAGUCAUAUUAUUAAUAUCUAUACAUGUAUUCCUUAUGCACACACUUCAUACUUCCAAAACUUUCUGUUUCAGGGUUUCCAAAUGUAAUUGGGUGCAUUGAUGGCACUCACAUUCCUAUUAAAGCUCCAUCAAUAAAUGAGGGAGACUAUGUUAAUAGGAAAUCUAUUCAUAGUAUCAAUGUGCAGGUAACAACUUAAUUUUUUCCCCUUCUUAAAAUCAUCAAAGUCAUUACUUUUUCCACUAACUAUAGGUAAUAUGUGAGGCAACCCAAAUCAUCACCAAUGUCGAGGCAAAAUGGCCAGGAUCUGUGCAUGAUGCCAGAAUUUUCCGCGAGUCAUCAUUAUGCCAGACAUUUCAGCAGGGUAUGAUUUGCUUUAUACAAUUUUUGUUUUUUCGUUUUUACUAUAUUUGUGUUGUACACUUCAAUCAUUACAGGACAGUACAAUGGUUACUUGCUGGGGGACAGAGGAU
ensembl:lncRNA